rnacentral:tRNA from 1 species
ACCUGGCUAGCUCAGUUGGUAGAGCAUGUGACUUAAUCUCGGGGUUGUGAGUUCAACCCCCACGUUGGGUG